CAUGGCUGCGCCCAUCAGUUUAAAACUGUGGCAUAUUCACUUCUUACCUGUGUGCAAUAUUUCACGAAAUACAAUUUUAAAGAUAAAUUUUCAUAGGUACAAAAUACAACAAUAAUAGCUGGUGUGCUCACUGAUAACUACAAAGCAAGGAUAAUUCAUUGAUGCAAGGUUUAAUAUUCAACACAACUUGAUCGAUUGAUUGAAUGUUUCAUACAGCCUCUAGCUAGCCGACGAAGCCGUAGCCUGGCUGGGCCAGUGCUAGCUGCUAGUUAGGCCUAGGCUAGCUAGGACGGUGCCCUGAUGAUGCAGUGUUGGUAGAAAAGAACUUUAACAAAGACAUGAUGUUAGCAGAUGUAAUCAUCACAUUCUGCAAGGAAGCCGGAGACAUACUACAAAACUUAAGUAUGCUUACAGAUGACAGUAGGGUAAUCAAAAUGCGAUACUCUUAUUCAGAAGAGCAAGAUGGAUAUGGAGACGACAUUGCAGAUGGAUAUGGAGACGACUGAUUCAACAAUAGAUCGUAGGACCAGCUGGACCCAUACCAAAGACCUAGACUAGGGACCAGCCUAACUACACGUGGCCCUGACACAACAAAACAACUCAUAAGUUGAUGUUUUGAGAAACCCUUGGAAAUAUUGAUGUAAACUUCCAUCUAAUUUAAAUCAAAAAUAUACUAAAUACAGUUGAUUUUUUAAAGAUACAUCUAUUGACAAUGUGAAUUUUCAUUUUUUAUUCUCUUCUUAAUGCAAUAAGACAAAUCUCAUUUUAAGGUCGUUUUUAAAGUCAUCGUGAAUAUUUAUAGCUUGUAGGGGUUUUUGUGUUUAAAAAGGACAAAUCAAUAUGCUUAAAAUAAUAUAUUUAAUAACAACAAUUAGAGUGUAUACAAAAACUAUCUUUAAUGACUGAACUUGGGAUGAAUUGGCACUGUUAAUUAUUAUUUUUAAUUGUAAUUUAAUAAAUAAAUUCGAUAUACACAACGAUUAGAAAUUGGAAAUUUACAAUGGCGAAGAAAAGAGAAUAAAUUUAGCCUUUCAAAUAUUUAUUGAGGAGGAAAGUGGUUCUUUGAUGUUAACUAAGAAUAAUGUAGAAGGAAAAUAUUCGUAAUGUAUCAUGUGUAAUUGGAAAAUAAAUUGUAUUUAGUUUAUAAUAAUGAGAUAUGCAUUCGUGAAUCAUUUUGACUGUUAUUUGCAUGCUAGUCUAAAUCUUGACAAACAUACGGGUUUUCAUAAGUCAUAAACUUGAUGAUGUCUGGUUCUUAAAUGUAUUUUCAAGUCAUUGAAUUUAAAGAAAUUAAAACACUGCCCUCAACCACACAAUUCGCUUUAUUCAUGACGUAGAUAUAAAGCAUAAACUUUAUGACUUUUGAUUAUUUUACCAUGAUUUUACUACUGUAGUGUAGAUUAUUGCAGUUGGUGUAUAGUAUUAUAGUAUAUUCAAGUAAUUGAAUUUGAAGAAAAGGACA